UAAUUCUUGAUAGGUCAAGAUUCCCGGAAGGUUUUUUGGUUUAAAGGGCGUAACAGCAUCUUUUUAUUUUCGCCCGAGGAUGGGACUGCGGCCGAUCAGGCUGUUGGGGGGGUAAAGGCCCACCAAACCUGUAACCGGUACGGGCUUUGAGAGAAGGAGCCCGGAGAUGGACACUGAGACAAGGGUCCAGGUCCUACGGGGCGCAGCAGGCGCGAAACCUUCGCAAUGCGCGAAAGCGCGACGAGGUUAUUCUGAGUGAUUUCCGCUGAGGAAAUCUUUUCUUAGAUCUAAAAAGUCUGGGGAAUAAGGGGAGGGCAAGUCUGGUGUCAGCCGCCGCGGUAAUACCAGCUCCUCGAGUGGUCAGGGCGUUUAUUGGGCCUAAAGCAUCCGUAGCCUGCUCAGUAGGUCUCCUGUUAAAUCCAACGGCUCAACCGUUGGUCUGCAGGAGAUACCGCUGGGCUAGGAGGCGGGAGAGGCGGACGGUACUCCGAGGGUAGGGGUAAAAUCCUUUGAUCCCCGGAA
rnacentral:rRNA from 1 species